AGAGUUUGAUCCUGGCUCAGAUUGAACGCUGGCGGCAGGCCUAACACAUGCAAGUCGAGCGGUAGCACAGGGAGCUUGCUCCUGGGUGACGAGCGGCGGACGGGUGAGUAAUGUCUGGGAAACUGCCUGAUGGAGGGGGAUAACUACUGGAAACGGUAGCUAAUACCGCAUAACGUCGCAAGACCAAAGAGGGGGACCUUCGGGCCUCUUGCCAUCAGAUGUGCCCAGAUGGGAUUAGCUAGUAGGUGGGGUAAUGGCUCACCUAGGCGACGAUCCCUAGCUGGUCUGAGAGGAUGACCAGCCACACUGGAACUGAGACACGGUCCAGACUCCUACGGGAGGCAGCAGUGGGGAAUAUUGCACAAUGGGCGCAAGCCUGAUGCAGCCAUGCCGCGUGUAUGAAGAAGGCCUUCGGGUUGUAAAGUACUUUCAGCGAGGAGGAAGGCAUUGUGGUUAAUAACCGCAGUGAUUGACGUUACUCGCAGAAGAAGCACCGGCUAACUCCGUGCCAGCAGCCGCGGUAAUACGGAGGGUGCAAGCGUUAAUCGGAAUUACUGGGCGUAAAGCGCACGCAGGCGGUCUGUCAAGUCGGAUGUGAAAUCCCCGGG
rnacentral:rRNA from 1 species